rnacentral:rRNA from 1 species
UGCAGUCGAACGGAAAGGCCCUUUCGGGGGUACUCGAGUGGCGAACGGGUGAGUAACACGUGGGUGAUCUGCCCUGCACUUUGGGAUAAGCCUGGGAAACUGGGUCUAAUACCGAAUACACCUUGCUGGCUGCAUGGCCUGGUGGGGGAAAGCUUUUGCGGUGUGGGAUGGGCCCGCGGCCUAUCAGCUUGUUGGUGGGGUGAUGGCCUACCAAGGCGACGACGGGUAGCCGGCCUGAGAGGGUGUCCGGCCACACUGGGACUGAGAUACGGCCCAGACUCCUACGGGAGGCAGCAGUGGGGAAUAUUGCACAAUGGGCGCAAGCCUGAUGCAGCGACGCCGCGUGAGGGAUGACGGCCUUCGGGUUGUAAACCUCUUUCAGUAUCGACGAAGCGCAAGUGACGGUAGGUACAGAAGAAGCACCGGCCAACUACGUGCCAGCAGCCGCGGUAAUACGUAGGGUGCGAGCGUUGUCCGGAAUUACUGGGCGUAAAGAGCUCGUAGGUGGUUUGUCGCGUUGUUCGUGAAAACUCACAGCUCAACUGUGGGCGUGCGGGCGAUACGGGCAGACUGGAGUACUGCAGGGGAGACUGGAAUUCCUGGUGUAGCGGUGGAAUGCGCAGAUAUCAGGAGGAACACCGGUGGCGAAGGCGGGUCUCUGGGCAGUAACUGACGCUGAGGAGCGAAAGCGUGGGGAGCGAACAGGAUUAGAUACCCUGGUAGUCCACGCCGUAAACGGUGGGUACUAAGGUGUGGGUUUCCUUCCUUGGGAUCCGUGCCGUAGCUAACGCAUUAGUAC